UGAAUAAAAGGUUCGGGCAAAAAUUAGGGAUAAAAAUAAAAAAUAAUAAUUACACCCGCUAAGUUGAAAACCUGAAAAGGUAGCUUAGGAAAAAAGGGUAUCCCGGUGGAUUGAAAACCCGAAAGGGAUCCAGGAAAAAGUUAGGGAUUUGAAGCGAACGACUACGUCUUAUGUUGGAUCUAUUGAUUCCAUCAUACUACUACAGUCGUAGACCCCGAAGGGUAGGAAUCAGUUCA
rnacentral:lncRNA from 1 species